UACGGGGGGGAGCAAGCGUUGUUCGGAUUUACUGGGCGUAAAGGCGCGUAGGCGGCCACCGCAAGUCGACUGUGAAAUCUCCGGGCUUAACUCGGAAAGGUCAGCCGAUACUGCGGGGCUAGAGUGCAGAAGGGGCAACUGGAAUUCUCGGUGUAGCGGUGAAAUGCGUAGAUAUCGAGAGGAACACCUGCGGCGAAGGCGGGUUGCUGGGCUGACACUGACGCUGAUUGUGCGAAAGCUAGGGGAGCGAACGGG
rnacentral:rRNA from 1 species